AUGUUGAACAAGAAGCCAUGAGGAGGCCCCUUCCACCUGUAUGCACCUAUGGUCUUACUGGGCAAGAUCCUGCGCAUACAUACUCCAUACAAAAAGUGAAUCAUUGAAUGAUGAACAGUUCCCCUAACCCAGCUUCGGGCACCCAGGAAAAUUCCCCAUCCAGAAAAGAAACCCCCACAUAAGAUGCUCGUCUUUCUCCCUGCUCACAUGAAACAGGGUAGAUUUUCUUUUUCCCUUUUCUGCUCCUCAGGGCCAGGCCUUCAGAGCCCAGGGAUGAAAUCCUGAAGCCCAGGGAGGGGAGCCAGCAGCACUGGGAGCCAGCUCCCACCCUGCUGCAGACGAAGGCAAGCCAGAAGCCAGCAGCUCCCGGAGCAGGACAGUAGAGCCCAGCAGAGCUGUGCGGCUGUAGACAGAUGAAUGGUCUCUCCUUAUUCCUGACGCCACGAGGUGUAGGUGCUCUGUAAAGAUGGGAAUCUGCACUGAAACACAGCUGAAAUGAAGGGAGUAACUGCUGUCUGUCAAGAAACCCCUAUUGACUCCACAAGGCCUUUGGGAAGUAUGUACUCACUGCAGAAUUAACUCAGGUGAAGGGUAUCUGGGACUGGACACCUGAGUUAUCCUGUCUUCAGUCUGAGCCACCACAUCACAAAGCCAAACCUGAGUUACUGCAUCCUCAGUGGUGCUGCACUCUUGCACGUAUGUUGGUAGGACUUCUGGGAGCACUCCCCAUGUUGCUCUGUGCUACAGGAAGGCACCCAGAGCACUCGAUGGACACCUAAUGUAUUUUAGAGGCCUGAAAACAAACCAAGAAAAGAAUCUUUCUUCUUAUCUUUUAUGCAAAAAAAUAAGGGAAUGGAAAAAUAUUUCUUGUUACACCAUCCAGUUAGUCAGGUUUACAGCAAUUACCAGUAUGUUACUUUAUUAGUAGUAUCCCAAAGCAAACACACAUUUGAGUGUUUUCCUUUCAGAUCUUUGUACACCUCUGCACAGCUGUGAGUCCCAGGGGUUUUCAAACAGUGGUGUGUAUUUGCUAAGCUGUCCAACUCUGCAACUGUAUUAUCGAACUCUGUCAAGUGAUUUCCAACAUAGUUUGUAUGAAGGAGACUAAUAAAAAUAUAAUUGCUGGGGCUGAUAUAGAUUCUGGACAAGUGGGUGCAACUCUUCUGAAAUCUGAAGUCAUCAAGUCUAAAUUUUGUCUGUAUCAUUUGCUAUGUAUUGUUUCCUUGUUAUAUUUACAACUGUACAUUAUUUAUUUAUUACAUUUCCUACUGGGAGAUGCCCUUGAAGUAAAUGUAUUUUCAUCAGGGAUGAAUUCUGCCCAAUAUAAUACAUCUGUUGCUGUUCCAAGCAACUGCUCAGUUGAGAUUCUCCUUUAUCUCAAGUGGUUGAACUAUUGCUUUUAGAAUGGAGUAAAAGCAUCCUUUUGUUAAAGUCCAGGCAGGAACUAAUUUCUUAUUAUUCAGAUAACAACACAUUAAGGUAGUGGCUUCUUUAUUGGAAGGGGAGUACCAUCUCAUGGGUAGAGCAGUGGAC